rnacentral:rRNA from 1 species
UGGGGAAUAUUGCACAAUGGGCGCAAGCCUGAUGCAGCCAUGCCGCGUGUAUGAAGAAGGCCUUCGGGUUGUAAAGUACUUUCAGUCGGGAGGAAGGUGUCAAGGUUAAUAACCUUGGCAAUUGACGUUACCGACAGAAGAAGCACCGGCUAACUCCGUGCCAGCAGCCGCGGUAAUACGGAGGGUGCAAGCGUUAAUCGGAAUUACUGGGCGUAAAGCGCACGCAGGCGGCUGAUUGAGUCAGAUGUGAAAUCCCCGGGCUUAACCCGGGAAUUGCAUCUGAUACUGGUCAGCUAGAGUCUUGUAGAGGGGGGUAGAAUUCCAUGUGUAGCGGUGAAAUGCGUAGAGAUGUGGAGGAAUACCGGUGGCGAAGGCGGCCCCCUGGACAAAGACUGACGCUCAGGUGCGAAAGCGUGGGGAGCAAACAGG